AUCACUCGCGGAAUCGUGAUUCUUUGAAAUUUGAACUAAAAUACAGACUACAGUCUUACACAGUUCUAUUCAUACGUUUUAGUGCAAAAUCACCAUGCGAAAGUGUAUUCUUUUUAGUAAAACAUCAAAAAAAGCGCCUCGCAACAUUGCGUUAAUUUUCAUUUAUUUCCAAGAAAUCAAUGAAAUAGAAGGAAACAAUGGCUAAAGAUCUUCGAAUUAAAUGAUUAUACCGAUGUCUACCCGGCAUAGAUUCCGCGGUAAUCAUUUCACAAUUAAUGAUUGUAAACAAUGCUCAGUAAACUAGUAAACAUGGUCAGAGGCUGUCUCAAAACAUAACCCAAACCACUUGUCUGGGAUAGAGAAGUAUUUGUAUAUUUUGAAAAUUAUAUUUCUCCAAUGAUGGGUUUGAAGAAAAUGAACAGACAAAUAAAGGAUUUGGAGACGUUAAAGUUGAAGAAUUUAAUUCAUCCAGAAAAGCAUUAGAUACUUAAUGAUGUCUAAUUCACAUACACUUAUUUCAUCCAGUGGAUUAUACUUAUGGUUUUCCAAACUGAAAUAUAUUAUGUACCACAUACAAGAAACUAGGAAUUCGAGCCAAUGUAUUGACAAUUUUUCAAACGUUGACUUUCUUGAAGAUAAUUCUACUGACUCAGAUUAAGCCACACAAUAUUCGAUGAAAUAGAAGGAAACAAUGGGUAGAAAUCUUCGAAUUAAAUGAUUAUUGUAAACAAUGCUCAGUAAACUAGUAAACAUAACCAGAGGCUGUCUCAAAACAUAAUCCAAACCACUUGCCUGGGAUAGAGAAGUAAAAUACAUUUUAGUAAUUUACAGCAACAUUGGUACUACUCUCAGCACCACUAGUAAAUCGUAUCUAAGAGAUAAAAUUAAUAUAACAUAAUUCAUGAAUUUAUGUUGUACUUAUAUAUUUUUUACAACUUGACAUUUUCAGAAAAUUGUGUUUUUCCAAAAAUGAGUUACAAUAAAAUGAACAGACGAAUAAAGGAUUUGGAUGCCUUACAGUCGAUGGUUUUAAUUCACCCAGAAAAGCCUUAGAUACUUAAUAAUGUCUAAUUCACAUACACAUAUUUCAUCCAGUGGAUGAUACUUAUGGUUUUCCAAACUGAAAUAUAUUAUGUACCACAUACAAGAAACUAGGAAUUCGAGCCAAUGUAUUGACAAUUUUUCAAACGUUGACUUUCUUGAAGAUAAUUCUACCGACUCAGAUUAAGCCAUACAAUAUUGGAGCGAAUUAUAAAACUUAAAGGUUACACAAUUUUGCUGAGCAAAAAUCCAAUUUUAAUAACACAGAGGACCUCAACAUAUUUAAAAUGCAAUGAAACACAUAACUAGUUUGGAUAUUGGUAUAUUUUCUGAAGGAGUUUACACACAGAUUUUGCCCGUCUCUUAUUUAAACAAUUGGUUCAAAAGCCACCUCAAGCUGUUAUAACACAAUAUGCCAUUUGUAAAUCCGUGACUAUUGAACAAGAUUUGUUGACAAAGGCUUUACUUGUUAGGAUGGUUGACUUGAGCUGUGAAAAGAUGUCUAUAUAUAUUGAAUCUGUUACUGAUAUGCUGUUUUUGAAUUGGUGAAUCCUACAGUUUACAGGUCGUCAAACCCGUACCCAUUUACAACAAGGAAAGACAAACUUCUUUGAAAAAAAAAAUUGGCGAUUACCAAAAAGCUUCAGUGGCUGUUAUUAAAAUUCCUCAACUAUCAACAAUGGACAUAAUUGAUGAAGACUUUUAAAUAAGUAUAUUCUGAUAGGUACCUAUUUCCUUUUAUUUGUGUACUUAUUUUUCCUAUAUUUCAACACACUACACAUCAGAAAGUAUAUAAUAAAAAAGAAAAAGUUUACACACAUAUUUUGCCUGUGUCUCCUUCUAAACAAUUGGAUCACAAGCCACCUUCAACUGUUAUCACAUAUAUGUUUGGUGAAAUCGUAACUAUUGUAAAGAUUUUUUGAUUAAUGCUUAACCUGUCAGAAUGGUUGGCAUGAGCAUGAGCUGUGAAAAGAUAUAUUAUAAUAUUGAAGAUAUUGCUGAUAGGCUGUUAAAAUUAGCGGGGUCCUAUUGUUUACUGGUCGUUAAACCUGUUCCCACACACGGAACUUACUUCUCAACAAGGAACAACAAACUUUGAAAGAAGACUCAGCGAACACCAAUUACCUUAAAUUAUUGCACUCUGAAUCGUAUUUGUCAAUGGCA